rnacentral:lncRNA from 1 species
UUGUGAUAGUAACAAGAACACCCACAACUUGCAAGAACUCUCAAGGCUUUCCAGGAGCAAUCUGAUCGACAAGGCAGCCUCCAAGUGUUUUCUAGGCUUCAUUAGGACCUUUGUAAGCAUUCAUAUCAUCCUCAAAUCCGUUCUAGCAUAGAUUAUUAGUUAAGAGUCAAACCGUUGUUCAUAAAGUUUGACUUUUCGAUUAAACGAAAUUGGCUCUGUCAUUUCUCAAAUUGAAACCACUUAUAAGUUGGUAUUUAUGUGGGAAACAAACCCUCAAAAGGGUAUUCUCUGAUUCCCACUCUAAGCAUGCUAUUUGUCGAGUCAAAGAUGUUCUUAAAAAGUCAACAGAAAUCGUUUUUGCGAAAUAUAGCAUAAAUGGUAAUGUAGAUGACAUGCAAUCAGUUUGAUCAUCAAAAAUAACUUAUAAUGAAUAUAAGAAUGUGUUUUAUCAUAAUCAACUCGACAAUCUUUAGUAUAAACUCGGAUCGGAACCGAAAGUCUUAUAAAACGACUUUUUCGUAGACUAUCGAUUCGGAUCCGUGCAUGCAUGUUUGAGAUCUGUAUUAGAGUGUAUUUUUGACCAUUUUUAUUUAUGUAUAACUUUCUGGAAUUUUUACAUCUUGAGUCUAUGCUUAACCGAUUCAUAUGCGUGUUUCCGAUUAUGCUUAAAAGUUGACUAUUUUGCCCUUUUUGAUAUAAAACGUGAUUUUUGGAAAAGUGAAAGAGUAGAAAUCUUUAUUAUUAAUUUAUAAACUUGCACCGAAAAUUUGAGAUCAGUUGGUGGUCCAGAUUUUGAGUUAUGGCCGAUAGCGUGAAACUAUAUCUUUAUGUUAAAUAAACGGCGCAUUUAGCGUAUAACCUAGUUCAGGCCACUUUUCGAUAUAAAACUUUUUACCCACUGAUGUUAUAUAAUAUUCUGGGAUUUUUGAAGAUUUUUAUUUAAUUUUUGGCUGAUCGGAUCAUACGUCGCUAAGUCGAUUCGGUUAAUGCCGGUUUUGACCGUUUAAGCCAUAAAAUGAGUUUUAUACAUUCUUUUGACCCCAAACCUUUUUCUACUGAUUUUAUUUGUUAAAUAAAUUAUUUUGGGCAUUCUGGAAAUAUAAAAAUCUCAGCUUUCUUUUAAAAACCCGGAAACGGCUCUAAAUCGCAUUUUUAGCGUUUUUAGCACAUUGUAAGCGUUAUACUCAUAUUAAACAUAUAAGACUCAUACCUACUGAUGUAUUUAGCAUAUUUUCAUAUAAUAACAGUAAGUAUAAGAUUUUGAACUCAGAUUUCCAGUUUUGUCGUUUUUAGCCCUUGUGAAAUUACUAAAAUACCCCUACGGUGCAUAGUUUGAUUUUAAAUGAUAAGUUUUGUCUACGGGUCAUACCCUACUGUUAUAAUAUGGCAAAUUAAGUAUAUUUACUGUAUAAAUCAGACCUGUAACUCAGAUUACCAAAUUGACUCUUUCAUAAUCUUUUAAAUGACCAAAAUGCCCUUAUGAGGCGUAAAUUGAGUUUAAAUACAUUCGGGGCAUAAUAGGACAUAACUUGCUGAUAUUAUAUCAUAUUUAAAGCAUAUUAUCUCAGGGAACUUGCAUAUGACUCUUUUGGUUACCCGUAACGCCCUUUUUGCGUUCGGUUCGGUUUACGUAACUAGUUUGCGUAAAUUGACCGAAACGGGUCAAACGUUAUCAUUUUUAUCUCAAAAUCCAGAAUGUAUUUAGUAUACCCAUAUUAUACAAGUAUUCAAACUUGUCGGGUCUAAAUCACAUUCUAUCCGGUCUUUCGCUUAAUCAUGCGUCUUAACCGUAUAUUUCUUUAAGACUAACCGGUCUAAGCUUAGGCUUAAUUAAAGACCCGUUAGCAGUCUAAUUGGUUAUUUAUACCAUUAUUCCAGAAUAGAGCCUUCCGUUAAAUUGUACCUACGCUUACUUAAGUGAAUACGGCUGAGUUAUUAUUCUUGCUAUUUAAGACAGGAGCUAGCUCAGGUAAAUACUUUUAACUUAUUUUCCCUUAUACGGGCUUGGGAUACGGUAUUAUAAAAAUACCGCUUGGUCGGGUGUAGAAACCGUUUAAUCGGAGAUGAUUAAAUUGCAUAAUCCCGUUUUAAUCUGUAUUGAUUGAUAACAAAUAACAUUGGGGGUUAAUGACCGUGUCCUGGAUAUCCUUGGCUCAUUUUAAAAAGUGAAUGGCCACGACGUAAGCACAAGGUGUAGGCAAAACACCUCCUGUUGCAUAUGUAUAACGUAUACUCACUCGUAAGGGUAUCUUCUUGUGAGAUUAUAUUUGUGGUGUGUCGAUUAAUCUUGUCCGGCUUGUAUUGUAUAAUCACCGGCCCUAAAUGUUGGACAACCAUGUAAAUCGGAUACAAGAUUUUUAUUAAUAAAAUUGUCCCAAGUAUAAAGAUUAAUCUUGCCUCUGUGCAUUUUAAUCAAUGUGUCAAGAUAUUUUGUGCCGUACUAUGCGUAAUUGGCUGGGAGCUCGGGGCGUCACUAGGGAAUCUUGCAAGUUCUAGAUGCCUAAAGUCUAUUGAACAGUUUUCUUUUAUUGAUCCGCCUGUGGAUCCUUUACCUUCCGUUGUAAUACUUUGACAUUACUUAUAUUCGGAAUGUAAUAUAUUUAUCUU